UACGGAGGGUGCAAACGUUGCUCGGAAUCAUUGGGCGUAAAGCGCACGUAGGCGGCUCGUUAAGUCGGAUGUGAAAGCCCUCGGCUCAACCGAGGAAGUGCAUACGAAACUGGCGAGCUUGAAUAUGGAAGAGGGUCGCGGAAUUCCCGGUGUAGAGGUGAAAUUCGUAGAUACCGGGAGGAACACCAGUGGCGAAGGCGGCGACCUGGGCCAAUAUUGACGCUGAGGUGCGAAAGCGUGGGGAGCAAACAGG
rnacentral:rRNA from 1 species